UACACAGCGUUUACCGUCACCCAGUGC
rnacentral:piRNA from 1 species